rnacentral:rRNA from 1 species
GACGAACGCUGGCGGCGUGCUUAACACAUGCAAGUCGAACGGAAAGGCCCUGCUUUUGUGGGGUGCUCGAGUGGCGAACGGGUGAGUAACACGUGAGUAACCUGCCCUUGACUUUGGGAUAACUUCAGGAAACUGGGGCUAAUACCGGAUAGGAGCUCCUGCUGCAUGGUGGGGGUUGGAAAGUUUCGGCGGUUGGGGAUGGACUCGCGGCUUAUCAGCUUGUUGGUGGGGUAGUGGCUUACCAAGGCUUUGACGGGUAGCCGGCCUGAGAGGGUGACCGGCCACAUUGGGACUGAGAUACGGCCCAGACUCCUACGGGAGGCAGCAGUGGGGAAUAUUGCACAAUGGGCGGAAGCCUGAUGCAGCAACGCCGCGUGCGGGAUGACGGCCUUCGGGUUGUAAACCGCUUUCGCCUGUGACCAAGCGUGAGUGACGGUAAUGGGUAAAGAAGCACCGGCUAACUACUUGCCAGCAGCCGCGGUGAUACGUAGGGUGCCAGCGUUGUCCGGAUUUAUUGGGCGUAGAGGGCUCGUAGGUGGUUGAUCGCGUCGGAAGUGUAAUCUUGGGGCUUAACCCUGAGCGUGCUUUCGAUACGGGUUGACUUGAGGAAGGUAGGGGAGAAUGGAAUUCCUGGUGGAGCGGUGGAAUGCGCAGAUAUCAGGAGGAACACCAGUGGCGAAGGCGGUUCUCUGGGCCUUUCCUGACGCUGAGGAGCGAAAGCGUGGGGAGCGAACAGGCUUAGAUACCCUGGUAGUCCACGCUGUAAACGGUGGGUAUUAGGUGUGGGGUCCAUUCCACGGGUUCCGUGCCGUAGCUAACGCUUUAAGUACCCCGCCUGGGGAGUACGGCCGCAAGGCUAAAACUCAAAGGAAUUGACGGGGCCCCGCACAAGCGGCGGAGCAUGCGGAUUAAUUCGAUGCAACGCGUAGAACCUUACCUGGGUUUGACAUGGAUCGGGAGCGCUCAGAGAUGGGUGUGCCUCUUUUGGGGUCGGUUCACAGGUGGUGCAUGGCUGUCGUCAGCUCGUGUCGUGAGAUGUUGGGUUAAGUCCCGCAACGAGCGCAACCCUUGUUCACUGUUGCCAGCACGUUAUGGUGGGGACUCAGUGGAGACCACCGGGGUCAACUCGGAGGAAGGUGGGGAUGACGUCAAGUCAUCAUGCCCCUUAUGUCCAGGGCUUCACGCAUGCUACAAUGGCUGGUACAGAGAGUGGCGAGCCUGUGAGGGUGAGCGAAUCUCGGAAAGCCGGUCUCAGUUCGGAUUGGGGUCUGCAACUCGACCUCAUGAAGUCGGAGUCGCUAGUAAUCGCAGAUCAGCAACGCUGCGGUGAAUACGUUCCCGGG